GAUGUUGGGUUAAGUCCCGCAACGAGCGCAACCCUUGUUCACUGUUGCCAGCACGUUAUGGUGGGGACUCAUGGGAGACUGCCGGGGUCAACUCGGAGGAAGGUGGGGAUGACGUCAAGUCAUCAUGCCCCUUAUGUCCAGGGCUUCACACAUGCUACAAUGGUCGGUACAACGCGCAGCGACACUGUGAGGUGGAGCGAAUCGCUGAAAGCCGGCCUUAGUUCGGAUUGGGGUCUGCAACUCGACCCCAUGAAGUCGGAGUCGCUAGUAAUCGCAGAUCAGCAACGCUGCGGUGAAUACGUUCCCGGGCCUUGUACACACCGCCCGUCACGUCAUGAAAGUUGGUAACACCCGAAGCCAGUGGCCCAAACGUGUUAGGGAGCUGUCGAAGGUGGGAUCGGCGAUUGGGACGAAGUCGUAACAAGGUAGCCGUACCGGAAGGUGCGGCUGGAUCACCUCCUU
rnacentral:rRNA from 14 species